rnacentral:rRNA from 1 species
UUGAGCCAAGGUGGCGCCCGUACCGCAAACCGACACAGGCAGGCAGGGAGAGAAUCCUAAGAUGAGCGGGAGAAGUGUUGUUAAGGAACUCGGCAAAAUAACUCCGUAACUUCGGGAGAAGGAGUGCCCCUUCGGGGGCCGCAGAGAAGAGGCUCAAGCGACUGUUUAGCAAAAACACAGGUCUCUGCUAAAUCGAAAGAUGACGUAUAGGGGCUGACGCCUGCCCGGUGCUGGAAGGUUAAGGGGAGUGCUUAGCGCAAGCGAAGGUGCGAACUUAAGCCCCAGUAAACGGCGGCCGUAACCAUAACGGUCCUAAGGUAGCGAAAUUCCUUGUCAGGUAAGUUCUGACCCGCACGAAAGGCGUAACGAUUUGAGCACUGUCUCGACAACACACCCGGUGAAAUUGUAGUACUCGUGAAGAUGCGAGUUACCCGCGACAGGACGGAAAGACCCCGUAGAGCUUUACUGCAUUCUGGCAUUGGAUCUCGAUGUGCCAUGUACAGGAUAGGUGGGAGGCAUGGAAACCAGGGCGUCAGCCUUGAUGGAGCCAACCUUGGGAUACCACCCCUGGUACAUUGGGAUUCUAACGGACAGCCGUGACCCGGCUGCCGGACAGUGUCAGAAGGGCAGUUUGACUGGGGCGGUCGCCUCCUAAAGAGUAUCGGAGGCGCCUAAAGUUACCCUCAUGAUGGUUGGAAACCAUCAGUAAGAGUGCAAAGGCAGAAGGGUGAUUGACUGCGAGGCAGACAUGCCGAGCAGGGACGAAAGUCGAGCUUAGUGAUCCGGUGGUCCCGAGUGGAAGGGCCAUCGCUCAACGGAUAAAAGCUACCUCGGGGAUAACAGGCUUAUCUCCCCCAAGAGUCCACAUCGACGGGGAGGUUUGGCACCUCGAUGUCGGCUCGUCUCAUCCUGGGGCUGAAGCAGGUCCCAAGGGUUGGGCUGUUCGCCCAUUAAAGAGGCACGCGAGCUGGGUUCAGAACGUCGUGAGACAGUUCGGUCCCUAUCCGUCGUGGGCGUUAGAGAUUUGAGAGGAGCUGAUCCUAGUACGAGAGGACCGGAUCGGACGGACCGCUGGUGCACCGGUUGUCCCGCCAGGGGCACAGCCGGGUAGCCAAGUCCGGAAGGGAUAAGUGCUGAAGGCAUCUAAGCACGAAGCCCCCCUCAAGAUAAGAUCUCUCAUUCUUUAAAAGAAGUAAGGCCACUGGUAGACGACCAGGUAGAUAGGCCGGAGGUGGAAGUACGGCAACGUAUGGAGCUGACCGGUACUAAUCGGCCGAGGUCUUGAUCAG